CACCGCGGUAAUUCCAGCUCCAAUAGCGUAUAUUAAAGUUGUUGCAGUUAAAAAGCUCGUAGUUGAAUUUCGGGAUUGACACAUCGGUCGUGCCUUAAGGGGUAUGAACUGGUGUAGUCAAUUUCUCACCUUCUGGAGAACCGCGAUGCCCUUAAUUGGGUGUCGCGGGGAACCAGGACCUUUACUUUGAAAAAAUUAGAGUGUUUAAAGCAGGCAUUUUGCUUGAAUACAUUAGCAUGGAAUAAUAAAAUAGGACGGCAUGAUUCUAUUUUGUUGGUUUCUAGGAUCACCGUAAUGAUUAAUAGGGAUAGUUGGGGGCAUUAGUAUUCAAUUGUCAGAGGUGAAAUUCUUGGAUUUAUUGAAGACUAACUACUGCGAAAGCAUUUGCCAAGGAUGUUUUCAUUAAUCAAGAACGAAAGUUAGGGGAUCGAAGACGAUCAGAUACCGUCGUAGUCUUAACCAUAAACUAUGCCGACUAGGAAUCAGACGAUGUUAAUUUUUUAAUGACUCGUUUGGCACCUUACG
rnacentral:misc_RNA from 1 species